GACGAACGCUGGCGGCGUGCCUAACACAUGCAAGUCGAACGAGACCGUCGGGUCUUGUGGCGCACGGGUGCGUAACGCGGGGGAAGCUGCACUUAGGUUCGGAAUAACUCCCCGAAAGGGGUCCUAAUACCGGAUAAGGUCUUAGGACCAACGACUUAUCGCCUUUGGAUGGGGCCGCGUCGGAUUAGCUAGUUGGUAGGGGAAAAGCCUACCAAUGCGACGAUGCAUGGCUGGUCUGAGAGGAUGACCCACAGCGCUGGGACUGCGGCCCGGCCCAGUCGCCGACGCGGGGCAGCGGUGUAGAAUAUUGUGCGAUGGACCAAGGCGUGAUCAAGCCACGCCGCGUAAGUGAGGCAGGCCUUAGGGUUGUAAAGCUCUCUUACCCGGGACGAUAAUGACGGUACUGGGUGAAUAAGCUCCGGCUAACUCCGUG
rnacentral:rRNA from 1 species